rnacentral:misc_RNA from 1 species
AGAAAAUUGAAGCCUAAAAAUUGCAUCCACAUCAGGCAGAGCUUUUCACAGUAAGCUCAGAAUGUCAUGGAGAAGCAACUAUAAAGGACAAAGUAGAGACCAAAUAUAAGUGUGUGACUUGGAGUGGAGAGUUUAUGUGAAAAUGCUGAAAGGAAUAACCAUUAUCCAAAUCUCUCCUCCAAAGAACUUUCUUUGGCAUCAACAAUUCAGAAUGAGGCUUAUAUAGCUAACAUCCCUCCUGAGCAUUUAUUAGUUCCAUUAGAGAAAGAAAAAUAUAAAAGCUUGAAAAAAGUAAUUAUAAUCAUGUUACACUCCAUCAUCAUCUUUCCAAAGUAAUCCAGCUUGUAAAAGACUAUUAAGGCAUUUUUAGUG